CAUGUACAGGAUAGGUGGGAGGCUUUGAAACCAGGACGCCAGUUUUGGCGGAGCCAUCCUUGGGAUACCACCCUUGUAGUACUGGGACUCUAACCAUAGGCCAUGAAUCUGGUCUUGGGACACUGUCCGGUGGGCAGUUUGACUGGGGCGGUCGCCUCCCAACAGGUAACGGAGGCGCUCAAAGGUUCUCUCAGUACGGUCGGAAAUCGUACGUAGAGUGUAAAGGCAAAAGAGAGCUUGAUUGCAAGACAUACAGGUCGAGCAAGGAUGAAAAUCGGACUUAGUGAUCC
rnacentral:rRNA from 1 species